AUUUGCAUUUGUGGCGCGCCGGCGCGGAGCCAUGUCGGCGGCGCGGCACGGCGGCGGCCCGCGGGGCAGGCCCGGGGCUCUGCGCGGCGGUGAGAAGCAGUGCUCAUGGGCUUCCUACAUGACCAACUCCCCAACGCUGAUCGUGAUGAUCGGCCUGCCUGCACGUGGCAAGACCUACGUGUCCAAGAAGCUCACCCGCUACCUCAACUGGAUCGGGGUGCCCACCAAAGUGUUUAAUUUAGGAGUGUAUCGCCGGGAAGCGGUGAAGUCUUACAAGUCCUAUGACUUCUUCAGGCACGAUAAUAAAGAAGCCAUGGAAAUCCGCAAACGAUGUGCCUUGGUGGCUCUACAGGACGUGAAGGCAUAUCUCUUGGAGGAGUGUGGGCAGAUAGCUGUGUUUGAUGCGACCAACACAACUCGAGAAAGACGGGACCUGAUAUUAAGUUUUGCUAAAGAAAAUGCUUUCAAGGUGUUUUUUGUGGAGUCUGUCUGUGACGAUCCAGAAGUCAUUGCUGCCAAUAUCCUGGAGGUGAAAGUUUCCAGCCCUGACUACCCAGAGAGAAACAGGGAGAACGUGAUGGAUGAUUUCCUGAAGAGGAUAGAGUGCUACAAGGUCACUUACCAGCCUCUUGAUCCCGAUGCCUAUGACAAAGAUCUUUCCUUCAUUAAAGUGAUCAAUGUGGGACAGCGGUUCCUAGUAAACAGAGUCCAAGAUUACAUCCAGAGUAAAAUCGUCUAUUACCUAAUGAACAUUCAUGUCCAGCCACGUACCAUCUACCUUUGCCGACAUGGUGAGAGUGAAUAUAAUCUUGUUGGCAAGAUUGGUGGGGAUUCUGGUCUGUCACCACGUGGGAAGCAGUUUGCUCAGGCACUGAAGAAGUUCAUUGAAGAGCAGGAAAUUGUUGACCUGAAGGUAUGGACGAGCCAGCUGAAAAGGACCAUCCAGACCGCUGAGUCCCUGGGGGUCAUGUACGAGCAGUGGAAGAUUCUCAACGAGAUUGAUGCUGGGGUGUGUGAAGAAAUGACCUAUGGAGAAAUUGAAGCCAAGUAUCCAGAGGAGUUUGCAUUGAGGGAUCAAGAGAAAUACCUUUAUCGCUAUCCUGGAGGCGAGUCCUACCAGGACUUGGUCCAGCGCCUGGAGCCGGUAAUUAUGGAGCUGGAAAGACAAGGCAACGUCCUCGUCAUCUCCCACCAGGCGGUUAUGAGGUGCCUGUUGGCUUAUUUUCUUGACAAGAGUGCAGAUGAGCUGCCCUACCUGCGCUGCCCUCUUCAUACCAUUCUGAAGCUCACACCCGUGGCAUACGGUUGUAAAGUGGAGACAAUCACCCUGAACGUGGAAGCAGUGAACACCCACCGUGACAAACCUUCUCUGAACUCAAACCACCUUCCCGCCAGCCAAAGCCCUGUAAGGAUGAGAAGGAACAGCUUUACGCCGCGGGCCAGCGCGGACACGGUAAAGCGCCCGCGACAUUACAGCGUUGGGAGCAAACCUCUCGACCUCGUGGGGCCUUUCCCAUCCUUGGAAGCUCGAGAUGGGGCCGACCAGCAGCAGCUGCAAGUCGGGGUCCAGGUCGUACCUUCUCUGUGUUUCCCUUCCCCACCAUCACCCACAGCCCUCAGUGGUCCUCUUUGAAACGCAGCCCCUUCCCAGGGUCGUUGUUCAUGUGUAAGAAUCAUUCUGGAUUAGACACUCUAUAAACCCACCCAAAAACCCCAAAGUCACCCCAUUAAACUAGAAUUGUGGUGCCAAAGGCUUUCAAAACCAGGUUGUAUGGGCCUUGGAGCAACUUGGUUUAGUGGAAGGUGUCCUUGCUCGUGGCAGGGGGUUGGAACUGGAGCUUUAUGGUCUCUUCUGACACAAACCAUUCUAUGAACACCAGGCUCUGUGCAGGUGAGUUUACAUCAGUGCAGUAGGGUUUUGGCCGGGUAGUUAAUUCUGGGUGAUGCUUUCUGGCAAAAACCUAAUUUGAAAGAGUUACAAAUAUCCUCUUUGUCCAAAUGAGAUGCUGCAGCCAAGUGUUGCUCCAGUCCCUGGUAGGAAAUAUUUGCAUCAUGACUUUGUCAGUGCCUGUUUUUCUGCAGAUCCCAAUGUCAGCAGGCUUGUUGAACAAAGUUUGGGCUCUUUGCGUGCCCAGAAUAAAGCAGCUUUGGGUGCUUGGUCUUUCUUCUGGCUCAAGAAGGCACCAAGGUCCUCAUCACUGUCAGAUGCAAAGCCCCGUUUGUUUCUUUGCUCAUUUAAACUUGUUUCUCUGUUAAAUGAGGUGUUUGUGUGUGCCUGGGAGAGUGCAGGCAAAGAGGUUUGGAUGGGGCUUUGAGGAGGUCUUGGCUGGGUCCUAUAGAAUCAUAGAAGUUAGGGUUGGAAAGGACCUAUGUUGUAAUGUGCACAUUAUGUGCGUGUUGUAAUGUGCAGAGACAGCCAUUACCAAAGCUGCUUAAAAAUAAUCUUGGAUACUUUAGAGGUUAAUGUUUUCCCAGCUUCUCCCCUUUCCCUCAGAGUAAGUGGCCAGAGAGUAAAAGAAGGGGUGACGCAGCACGAGUGAACAUUGCUGGUGUUUUCAUACUCUGUGAAGACCAUGAGGCUGAGGCAUCCCCAAAAUCCCAGGAUUCUGGUAGAGCUGAACCAGCCAGGGCUUUGCAUUGGGAUAGAUUUGGGCCACAGCAAUUCUGGGUGAUGCCUCAGCUGGAGAGGACCCUGAUGGCCCAAGGUGUUACUUUGUGGGUGCCCCAGGACAGGGAUCCCCACCCCUGUUUGCAGUUGUACCCUUCGUCAUUGUAGUGAUGAAGGAGCAUUUAGUAAACCCUGGGUUCUGGUCUGGGUGCAUGAUAGGGAAUUGUGCUGUCCCAGGACCUCUGAAUGGAGCCCUUGGGAUGAGCAGCAGUGGAGGGAGGAGGUGGCCAGGCACUGCAGCACUGUCCCUGCCUUGUAUCAGCUCCUGCUGUGAUACAAACCUACCCCUGGCUCCUUAACGUGAUACCUUUGGGGUUGCUUCACUUCUUUCCUCAUUUUCCUGCUGCUUUUCCUAUUAUUACAAAAUCUCCUUUAAAAGGCGCUAUGAGCUAUCCUGUGCUGUUUCUUUUUUCCUUUGCAGCCUCAAGGGGGAAUUGCUUGCCUAGGAUGGCCAGUUUAACGGUGUAGAGGUUUGUGCUUCCAUCUGGGAUUUCUAUGGCUGGGAAGAGCCCUGCAGCUGGACUUGAGCAUCCCUGGAGCACAGUGAGCUGCCGCCGCUUCGGCCCAUCCUCUCCUCUGAAAUGUGUUUUUAGAGCCUGUCUGCGUCUUUUCUUUCUGAAUGCUACAAUGGCUGUCCAUGAGAUUGAAGAAGAAUGUGAGCUUACAUAUCCCUGGGCUUUCUGGGGUCCUAUGACUUUCUUCCUGGGUAGAUAUUCAAAUUAACUGCAGUGUAGGUGAGGGCAAAAUGGUCAUGUACUCACUGAAGCAGCUUUUCUUUGGACGAUGUGUUAUCAGACCAAAUCCCCAAGUUUUUAUUUAGCUGUUACCAUUUCUAAGCUCAAAUGCAGUUAUUGUGGUGUUUAACCAUCCCAAGAGCUCCAAGCAUUGUUCAGCUUUUUUUUCAGGACUGCUGAUUUAAAUCUCCAGAUCUGAGCUUGUUCCUUUGCUCUGGGAAGGCUUUUGCAUAUCCUAUGAAACACAUGGCACUUGCCAGGUCAGCACAUCCUGCAGGAUGUCUCCUGUGAGGGAUAGGAGGGAAUAAAACCUCCUAUCGUUCUUUGGGAAGAGCAUAGUGCUGUCCAAUCUGAGCUCAAGUCCUGCUUUAGCUUUGCACCCAGAUCUAAGCUUCCUCCUCUCAUUUUUCCUGUGUUCUAUGGACACAUUUAUCUAUUAGAAAAUGGGAGCAUCACUUUGCUCUCAGGGCCAUGUGUGCAGGGCUUGCUAGAAGCACAAGAUCUUUUACCAGUUCUCUUUUUAAUGUACCAAAAUUUCAGCCCGCCAACAAGGCUUUUAAACUUGCCUAUGAAAAAUCUGUGAAUGAUAUUGAUGCGUAAUGCUGCUUUUCAUAGAGUUUAAGCUGCUUUAGUGUUCAGUGUUACUUAAAUCCCCACCAAAACCCCAAAUUUAGUUUUCUCCCACAAAUUUUGACUUGGAAUCAUAGAAUCCCAGAGUGGUUUGGGUUGGAAGGGAGCUUAAAGCUCACCCAGCUCCAAUGCCCUGCCACGGGCAGGGGCACCUUCCACUAGAGCAGGUUGCUCCAAGCCCCUGUGUCCAACCUGGCCUUGAACACUGCCAGGGAUGGGGCAGCCACAGCUUCUCUGGGCACCCUGUGCCAGCGCCUCAGCACCCUCACAGGGAAGAAAUUCUUCCUUAUAUCCAACCUAAAUCUCCCCUCUGACAGUUUAAACCCAUUCUUUCUUGUCCUAUCACUUGUGUUAUGUCAAACUCCAUUUUAUCCCACUCCUACUCUUCUUGAAGAAAGGAGCAUUUAGGUACGAAGCAGGAUGCUGUUCUGGACUUGCUGUUUCCAGUUGGCUCGAGGAUUUAUAUGAGCAACUUCUGGGAGCCAGGUUGCUUAUUUUAAAUGCGAAAAUAGAUGUUGGCCAUACCCAGAGCAGGGAUCAUAGACUCAUAGAAUAGUUAAGGUUGGAAAGGACCUUAAGAUCAUCUAGUUCCAAACCCCUGCCAUGGGCAGGGACACUAAGAGAAGCACUGCAGAAGAGCUCAGCAGCCCUGAAGCCUGAGGUUUCCCUGGGGAUUUUGAGCUCAAACCUGAGUUGUUUUAAACACUCCAGAGUUUUAAUUUGAUAAAUGAAAUAGAAAUGGGCAUGGCAAAGGCCCAGGCGUUAAUCCUGACCCCUUAGGAUUUCUGAGGAGCAGAAGUGUGUGUUAAUCUAAAGCAAUUGUGCCACAGAGGAAAGAAAUUCAGUGGGUGAGAAACUGAGUUGUAAUAGUUUUGUUCCUUGAGCUGUUCCCACGGGGGCACAGGUUUGCUGUGCAAGAGCAGAGUCUGUUCUUUGGUUUUAAAUGUCACAGUGCUUAGAAAUGAGCCAAAAAACCUUGAGGGAAGAGAUUUCUAGGCUGUUCCAUGGUGAUACUCGCUGUCACACUCCAGUGAUGCUCUAAACGCACAAACCACAUUGGGCUGGCUACUCCUGUCCAGCCAUCUCCUGCUCCUGUGAGUAAAAAGGAGUAGCAAUGUACUGUAGGAUGUUUACGCACAAUAUGCAGUAAUAACUUGUGAAGGAGUUAAUUUUCUUUGUGUUAUUGAGUAGUUAAUGGCUGUAAGGAGACGAAGUAUGUAUUUUUACGUGCCAGGAUUCAUGAAGGCAGCUGCUAUGAUGUUGGUGGUUGUAAUUAGUAUUUUUAUUAAUCACUGCUAAAAAUCAGGUCUGUGAGUCUUUAUCACUGACUGCGGGUACCUUAUUCCUGUUGUGGGUCCUUGCUUUGGCUGUAGGCUGCUGGAUCGUGGGAUGGAACCUCUCAGCCACCUCUGCAGACAGACAGCAGUGUUUGUGCCUUGUUGCUUUAAUCAAAGCCUAACAGUAGCCUUUUCCUCCUGCUUUUUAACUUUCAAAAGGCCUAAAUACAUGUGUCCAGAGCAGAGCAGCAGAUUUAUGAUCAUCAUUGUUGCCAUGUGGGUGAGUCAUACCUGACAUGGUCCCGGGUCAUGCUGAGCCUUUGUGGGCAGUGAGGCUGGGGCGAUGCCAGUGACCCCACACAUCUCCCCAGCCCCAUGCAGGUCCCUCUGCCAGGCUUUUCCUUGAAAUCACCUGAUUUCCUUGGCACCGUGCGUGCAAACACCUCAGGAUAAACAGUGAUUGCACAAUGUGCCGAACUGAGGCUCAGCAGCUGGUUGUACUGGCACUGGUGUGUUGGUCUGGGCAGGUAGAGGUGAGGAACUGGGAGGUGUGGAAGGGGGCUUGGCUCCUUCAUGAGCAUUGCUUCAUGACUUGGGAGUUUUCUGUGUUUCCCUCACUUUGUGUGCCUCUGUUUCUUGCAGCAGGGGUGGUGGUGGCAGCUCCCCUGAGCUGUAGUCCAGGGGCUGUGGCUGCCCCAUCAGCAUUAUGGAUUGUUUAGAGAGAAGUGAUCUCAGGCAAAAUCUGUUCCAUCUCUGCCACCAGUGAUGGGGAAAAUCAGAAGGUGAGGAUAAAGGCUUCAAACCAGCCCAGGUAGCUUGAGUUUGCAUACACUGGCUGUGCCAUUAGAGCUGCUACCCCUGUAAGUCAUCCCCUUGCUGGCAGCUUGGCAGCGGAUGAUGGAGAAGCCUUGGGAGCAGCGACAUUGCUGCCAGUGCUUCCAGGAACCACAAACUCCAUGAGUACAUCCCAAACCUUCACCCUGUCCUCCUUCAAAGGGUGCUGCUGGUGCCACCUCUGCCUCUCCUCCUGCUCCUCUGUCUCUGAACACUGUUUGCAAAUGCAUCUCUGUGUUUAGUAAGAUCGAUGUUAUGUGUCUACUUGCAAUUUGGCUGCAUUACUGCUUUCUAAUGUGGUUUUGAAGUUUAAAAGAAAUGCAGUGUAUGUAAACUUGUGCUGUAUGUUGUGAACUCUGUGCACUUGAGCAUAAAUAUCCCAUCAGCAUUUAUUUACAAUAAAGAGAUUUUAAAAUAA